ACGCUCGACACCUACGGGAGGGCAGCAGUGGGGAAUAUUGGGCAAUGGGCGCAAGCCUGACCCAGCAACGCCGCGUGAGUGAUGAAGGUCUUCGGAUUGUAAAACUCUUUAAGCAGGGAAGAAGAAAGUGACGGUACCUGCAGAAUAAGCAUCGGCUAACUACGUGCAGCAGCCGCGGUAAUCUGAGGCGGGCUGGCAAGGC
rnacentral:rRNA from 1 species